UCAGAGGAGCAGUCGACGAGAAAAGUUGUGUGAAUAUUUUCUGACUAAAAAUCCUUUUUAUUCUCAAAUAUGGAUCUUUAAGGGCUCAUACUGCAUCCUAAAGGCCACCGCAUAGGAUCAAUGUGAAAGGUGUUACCAGUUUCAUCAUUGGAGUCCUAGCCCUCCAGCAAUUACAAAAUAUCUUUGAUCUUUUUCUUAUUUGCUUUUCUCAAUGCAGGCAGAAUAGCUGGUCUGUUGAUUUGCAGCUUUUCUCUGAGGUCUUUCAUAAAUAAAUAUGAAAUAAAGAAAUAAAGAAAAUACUUUGAAUUAAAGAAAAUGAAAACUUU